CUAUUUGAAUUGCUGCUUUACUGUCAGUGUAGAUGUUCACGGGGAUACCAACUUCUAUACCAAUGUCUUUGAACAGACCAAGUAUCCAUACCAAUUCAGCUACAGUUGAUGCAAUGCUUCUGCACUCAAAUUCUGCAGAGCUCCUAGAAAUGGUGCUUUGUUUCUUUGACUUCCAGGAUAUCAGGGAAUCACCAUACUUGAUGAAGAAGCAUGUUACUGAUUUCCUAGUGAUAGGGCAGGUUGCUUGGUCUGCAUCACAAUAUGCAGUGAUAAUGUUUUUCCGUUUGCUAGACAACAAUAUGCCUUGACUUGGUUGGUUCUUCACAUAUCUAACCACCCUUUGAGCAGCUUCCAAAUGUGAUUUAUUCGGUUUCUACAUAAACUGGCUUAGAUUCUGAACACUAUAUGCUAUGUCUGGCCUUGUGACAGUUAAGUAGAGUAGUUUCCCCAGUAAUCUUUGAUACUGAGCUGCUAGUAUGUUCAUCAUACUCCUUAGUGGUCAGUUUGAUGUUGGCUUCAAUAGGUGUUGUUGCAUCUUUUGCAGCUCCCAGUCCAAGCUCAGAAAUCAGCUCUAGAGUGUACUUCCUUUGGUACAUUAGAAUGCCUCUUUGUGACCUGGCAAACUCAAUGCCAAGAAAGUAUUUAAGAUCUCCUAGAUCUUUCAUUUUGAAUAUCAGUUGCAGCUUGGUCUUCAUCUCAGCUAUUAGUGUCAGGUUAGGCCCAGUGAUUAGCAUGUCAUCAACAUACACCAAGAUGAUUAUGAUGUGUUCCCCAGAUCCUUUACAGGGAGUGAUUAUGUUGGCUUUGCAUGAAGCCAAACCUCAGAAGUGCCUCAGACAACUUAGCAUUCCUGGUGCAUGUUUAAGUCCAUACAGGGAUUUCAAGAGUCUGCAUGCUGGUCUUGUCUCCCCCUGACUCUGAAAGCCCUGUGGUAAGGUCAUGUAUAUCUCAUCAUAGAGAUCUCCUUGAAGAAAAGCAUUGUACACAUCUAUUUGAUGAAUGUGCCAAUGUUCAGAGGCAGCCACAUCUAGGAUGGUUCUAACAGUAACCAUCUUAACUACUGGACUAAAUGUUUCUUGGUAGUCAAUGCCCUCAUGUUGGUUGUACCCUUUGGCCAACAGCCUGGCUUUGAACCUCUCCACCUCUUCUUUAGCUUUGUACUUCACCUUAUAGAUCCACUUACAACCAAUAGGCACCUUGCCUGCAGGUAAGGACACCACAUCCCAGGUGUGAUUGGAUUCUAGUGCAACAAUUUCAGCUUGCAUAGCUUUAACCCACCUAGGAUCUUGAGCAGCUUGCUCAAAAGAAGUAGGCUCAUGGAUUGCAGAGAAUGCUGUCAAAUAGGCUUGAUAUUUGGGAGAAAGUCUAUCAUAGGACACAUAGUUAGCAAUGGAAUAGGGAACAGAUUUGUGUCCAGGCUGUGACACAAAGUCUUUCAUCCAUAUGGGAGCCUACCUUGUCCUCAAGGAUCUCCUCAGACCAGUGGAGUGCUGAGUAGAAUGAGGAAGUAUAUAGGGCAUCACAUCUGGUGCUGACUGGUGCAAGGGAGAAGAGUCAGUAGACUUAUGCCUAGCAGGAACAGAAGGGAGUAAAGGUUGUUCUUCACUAGAACUGGACAAGCCAGGAGGCAAGAAAAUAAGAGAUGAUGUGGUUGUGAUAUCUUUGAAGGGAAAUAUAUCUUCCCUGAAGGAUACAUCCCUGUUGGUAAAAAAACAAUGAGAAGAUAGAUCCAGUAGAAUGUAGGCUUUCUGAGUAUCCGAGAAGCCCAUGAGAACAUCUGGCUUAGCCCUGGGCAGAAGUUUAUCUGUUUCAUGAACUUGCUUUGCAUAGCACAAGCAACCAAAAAUUCUUAAGUGACCCAGGUUAGGUGCCCUACCAUACAAUAGUUCAAAAGGGGAAAGACCAUGAAGUACAGAAGAUGGCAUCCUAUUUAUGAGGUACACUGCUGCAAGCACACAAUGCCCUCAAUACUUGAUAGGAAUAUUGGCCUGAAACCUUAAAGCUCGUGUGACUUCUAGGAUGUGCCUGUGCUUUUGCUCAACUACUCCAUUUUGCUGAGGAGUAUAAGCACAAAUUCUUUGAUGAAUGAUACCAUACUUCUGAAACAAUGUGGUACAGUUAGAGUUGACAAACUAAGAGCCAUUGUCUGACCCGACUGCUUUCAUAACUUUGUUAAACCGAGUUUGAAUGAACACAAUAAGCUGAGUAAGCACCACACAUACAUCAUAUUUGAGUUUCAGUAAAAAUAGCCAAGUCAUCCUAGUAAAGUCAUCAACAACUGUCAGAAAAUACUUAUUGCCAUCAAAAGUUGCACAGUUAUAUGGGCCCCCAACAUCAAGAUGUAUUAGAUCAAAUGCAGCAACUGUCUUAAUACAGCUAGAAGGAAAUGGCAGCCUGGUUUGCCUAGCACAAGGGCAUACACUACAUUUAUUGAUAGUGUCAUUGAUACAAGCUAGUUUGGCAGCAAACAGUUUUCUAAGAACAAUACUAGAUACAUGACCUAGUCUUUUAUGCCACAAGGCAACAUCAAUUGUAGUGUCACCCUGCCUUGACUUUAUUCCAGCAGCAGCUAAAGAGACUGCAGUGAGCUUCUUGCCACCAUAUCUCUGCAUAAAGUAUAGACCAUCUCUUUCUCUACCAAUCUCCCUCACCCUGCCAUUGAAGAGAUCCUGAAAGACACAGAAAUUAGGAUAAAAGGAAGCAAAGCAUUUAAGAUCUCUUGUCACUUUGGAGACUGAUAAUAAGUUGAACUUGAACUGAGGCACAUAGAAGACUUCUUUAAGUGUGCUUCUGUCUGAAAUAUUACUGUCACCAGUGUGAGUUACUUGAGUGGCAUCUCCAUUAGGUAAUAAGACUGUAUUAGGCUUAGAUGGAGCAACUACAGAAGUCUUAGUAAGCAAGUUAACAUCUGACACCAUAUGAUUAGUUGCUCCAGUAUCAAUAAUCCAUUCUUGUGGGCUAGUAGAUGCUAAGAGAGUAGUGCUAGUACCUGCCACAUUUGCUUGAGUUGAGGAAGUUGAAUUGUUCAGAAUCUGUACUAUUUGAUCAUACUGUUCUUUAGUGAAAGGAAAAGCACUUCCUUGAGCCUGUGGAGAGGAACCUGUGUAAGGAGAAAAGAGUCAACUCGCACCCAAAGGACUGGUUUACUUUGCAACCAAAUUGUUGUUAUCCCCUCGAAAUGAGUACUGUAGCAAAGUGCAAUUCAUCCAAUUUUAGACAAUAUUGCAAGGUUCCAUAUGUUUCACUUAACAAUCUAUUUUAAUUCACUAUUGUUAAUUGGUUUCUUAAUUGCUAAUCUUCCAGCAUCAAGCAACAAUAUUAUUUUUUUGGUUUUUCUGGAUAUCAGGUCUAUGCAACAACUGCUGAAACUGAAUAGCAAAAGUGGUGGGAAAAAAGUGUGCAUAAUAUGAUCUACAUACAUUCAACUCAAGAGUUUUUAGACGAGGAAAGAUCUCUUUUCCAGCAAGUAAAAGAAAAUGAAGAACCAUUUUCUACCUGUGAAAUAUCAAGUAACAAGAGGCAUUCUGUGUACAAAGACUAUGAACUAAAAUAAUAUGGAGAUAGAAGUGCAAGUGGAAGUGCUCACUUUGUUUCCAAUGGAUUUGACCAGUAUUUGUAGUGUGAAAACUUUGGAUCAUCCAAAUCUUCAGCUAUCCCAUAUGAAAAUUGAGCAUCUCCGCGAGCCAUCAUUUUUGGGGCAACAAAGUUGAGCAAAUCCAAAAUAUCUCCAGCUGAAUAAACCUUGUAUUCUUCCACUGCUUUGAUACCAGCAACACCCAUGUCAUAGUAUUCGGUCCACACAUCGCAUGUGUUAUUUGCAACAUUAGUUCCCUUCACUACACCCUGCAUGUAAAAAAACCAUAGCUACUUCCAGGCAACAAGUGAGUGGGAAAGAGAUAAUUUCGCAAAGCUUGUAAGUACCAGGUAUUAAGGCCGCUAUGCAGUUAUUAGUUUUAUUUGUUUUUCUUUGCUGUAUAAGGAUCAAAAUUUCUAGCAUUGCCCUUGAUGUUUGCAGAUUUAAAACAUUUCCAGAAAAGUUAACAUAGAAAAUAAAGGGUGAAGGUGGAAACUAUUAUAUCCUAUACCUACAUAACACC
rnacentral:lncRNA from 1 species